rnacentral:rRNA from 1 species
UACAGAGGUGGCAAGCGUUGUUCGGAAUUACUGGGCGUAAAGGGUUCGUAGGUGGCCAAUUAAGUCAGACGUGAAAUCCCUCAGCUUAACUGGGGAACUGCGUCUGAGACUGGAUGGCUUGAGUGCAGGAGAGGAACGCGGAAUUCCAGGUGUAGCGGUGAAAUGCGUAGAUAUCUGGAGGAACACCGGUGGCGAAGGCGGCGUUCUGGACUGCAACUGACACUGAGGAACGAAAGCCAGGGGAGCAAACGGG